UCUUUUUGUAGAUAUCAAUGAGAUAUACUAUGAACCAACAAGCAGUGAAUUAACGUUUAAGCGUACUUUGAGUACGUCUCUUGUUGGGAAACAAUCAAAUAAAACUUUAAAGACUAGGUAUAAACUUAGUCUUUUUUAUUUUAA
rnacentral:ncRNA from 1 species